rnacentral:rRNA from 1 species
UACGAGGGGUCCUAGCGUUGUUCGGAAUCAUUGGGCGUAAAGAGCUCGUAGGUGGCUUAGUAAGUCAGGUGUGAAAGCCCAGGGCUCAACCCUGGAAGUGCACUUGAAACUGCAUAGCUUGAGUACGGUAGAGGUGAGUGGAAUUCCUGGUGUAGUGGUAAAAUACGUAGAUAUCAGGAGGAACAUCGGUGGCGAAGGCGGCUCACUGGACCAGUACUGACACUGAGGAGCGAAAAGCAUGGGGGAUCAAAACAGGGAUUAGAUACCCCGGG